UUCGCUGCUUGCCGAAAACUUCAAACUACAAUCUAUAAGACCUUUGUUGAUUUGUCUUAUGUAAACAAAUAAAGAAAUCAACA
rnacentral:sRNA from 12 species